AGAUGGGGUUUCACCAUGUUGAUCAGGCUGGUCUCGAACUCCUGACCUAAAGUGAUCCACCUGCCUCAGCCUCCCAAAGUGCUGGGAUCACAGGUGUGAGCCACCACACCAGGCCAGAAAGUUUUUCUUCAUAAGAAUAUUCUAGCUAAUAAGGAAUGAAUAAUAAGAUAUCGCCAUUUUGCAACCUCUAAUGAACAGAUUUAUGAAUGAAACAUCAAUGGUUGCCAACAUCACAAAAAGAGCAACACCUAAAUAUUAUGGCUUCCAAUAUUAACCACUGAUAAAUAAUCUUAACAAAAAAAGAACCUCAAUUUGACCAGUCCUCUCAAUCUCAACUAAUUUACAGGAAAUACUAGGGAUAGAGGAGCAUGUUAAACUACACCAUGCAGAUGCAGCCGGCAAAAACUAGACUUGGAGAAGGCAAGUCUACAAGGCAAAUUAUCUAGUUUCUUCAAAAAACAAGAAGUUGCAAAAAAAAAGCCAGUAAAGGAGAAUAGAUUGAGAAUAAUAGAGAAAUACAAGACAUAUCAACUGCAAUUUGAGGACAUCAUUUGGAUCCUGGGAAUUUUUUAUAAAACUGACAUUUAUGAAACAAAAAUUUGAACACUAUCAUACAUGUAAUGGCAUUAAGGUGGUAACAUCUUUUUUUUCUUUUGAGACGCAGUUUCACUCUUGUCGCCCAGGCUGGAGUGCAAUGGCGCAAUCUCAGCUCACAGCAACCUCUGCCUUCUGUGUUCAAGGGAUUCUCCUGCCUCGGCCUCCCAGGUAGCUGGGAUUACAGGUGCCCACCACCAUGGCUGGCUAAUUUUUGUAUUUUUAGUAGAGUUGGGGUUUCACGUUGGCCAGGCUGGUCUCGAGCUCCUGCCCUCAGAUGAUCCAUCCACCUCGGCCUCCCAAAGUGCUGGGAUUACAGGCAUGAGCUACUGCACCAGGCCUGUUUUUUUUUUUUUUUAAGGAGUGAAAAUAUUUUCUAAUGUUGUCAUGUGCUUUAAAGAUAUGUAUGAAAUGUCUGUGGAUGAAAUAAUAUAUCUGGUAUUUACUUCAAAAAUAACAGAGAUGAGAGAAGUGGGUACACAGACAAAGCAAGAUUGGCCAUGAGCUGAUAAUUCUUGAAGCUGGUGAUGAGGCCGCUGGAGUUCAAUAUAAGAUUCUGUGUAUUUUUGUAUAUGUUCAAAUUUUUUCAUGAUAGAAAGUUUUAAAAAGUUACUUUUUUUUUGAGACGGAAUCGCGCUCUGUUGCUAAUUUUUUGUAUUUUUAGUAGAGAUGAGGUUUCACCAUGUUGGCCAGGAUGGUCUUUAUCUCUUGACCUCGUGAUCCCCCUGCCUCAGCCUCCCAAAGUGCUGGGAUUAGGGAUUACAGGUGUGAGCCGCUGCGCCCAGCCAAAAAUUUACAUUUUUAUCUAGCAUUUCCACUUCUAGGAAUUUACCUUAAAGAUAUAUUACACAUGUACAAAAUAAUUUACGUGCAAGGGAAAUAUUAUGGGAUUGUUUGAAAGAACAAAAAAUAAUGGAAAGUCCAGGCACGGUGGCUCAGAAUCUUUUAAUCGGGUCAUUUUUGUAUUAGGAAUUGUCAGAAAUUUAACAUAUUUUGAAUGGCAAGAAGCAGCUUUUCUAUAUUCAUUUUUUUUUAGCAUAGAUUAUCUGAUGCUUAGGAAACAGUGAGUGAGGCAAAAAGAAUUCCCACAUUUAUUUAAUUUUCUUUGGGUGUGAGUUUUCUGAUGUUCUAUGAUGGAAGUG
rnacentral:lncRNA from 10 species